rnacentral:rRNA from 1 species
GACGAACGCUGGCGGCGUGCUUAACACAUGCAAGUCGAACGGAAAGGCCCUGCUUGCAGGGUACUCGAGUGGCGAACGGGUGAGUAACACGUGGGUGAUCUGCCCUGCACUUCGGGAUAAGCCUGGGAAACUGGGUCUAAUACCGGAUAGGAGCCAUUUUUAGUGUGAUGGUUGGAAAGUUUUUUCGGUGUAGGAUGAGCUCGCGGCCUAUCAGCUUGUUGGUGGGGUAAUGGCCUACCAAGGCGGCGACGGGUAGCUGGCCUGAGAGGGUGGACGGCCACACUGGGACUGAGAUACGGCCCAGACUCCUACGGGCGGCAGCAGUGGGGAAUAUUGCACAAGGGACGCAAGCCUGAUGCAGCGACGCCGCGUGGGGGAUGACGGCCUUCGGGUUGUAAACUCCUUUCGCUAGGGACGAAGCUUUUUGUGACGGUACCUAGAUAAGAAGCACCGGCUAACUACGUG